rnacentral:miRNA from 1 species
CUUCCAGUAGCACCUUAGAGACCAACUAAGUUUGUUAUUGGUAUGAGCUUUUGUGUGCAUGCAGACUUCUUCUAUUUCAGUGUAUCUGAAGAAGUGUGCAUGCACACAAAAUCUCAUACCAGUAACAAACUUAGUUGGUCUCUAAGGUGCUACUGGAAG